CGAGAGUGGGCAAGAGGUUGGGAGGAGACAUAGCCAGGACAGCUGAGCCAAACUGACCAAAGGGAUAUUCCAUACCACAUGACAUCGUGCUGAGCAAUAGAAGCUAAGAGAAGAAAGUGUGUCGGCGGGGGGCAUUUGUUAUUAAGGCGUUUCUCUUCUGAAGCAUACUAAGGCCCAGGAAGUGGCUGGACAUGGUCUGCUGAUGAGGUUUUGCAGAAGGCACAUAUGAGAUCGGUGAAAAAGAUCCAAUGAGAAGCAAGAUGACCCCAAACUGAAAAAUCGCCAUUGGACUGAAUCGUGGUAUGAAUGGUCUGUAAAGAUAUAAAAGUCUAUGGUUUUCUAUGCUCGGGUUGGACCUCUGUGCAGGUACCCAGCUUGAGUCAGCCCUCCUGGUAUUCUACUCCAUUAAUUAUUUUUUUUUCUGAGAAUUUUGUUUCCUGAAAGUCUGCUCUGCAUACAAUUAUCACACCUCGCCUGAAAGUUUGCCUUCAGAGCUCUAAAAUACAGACUCUGGAGCAAACGGUUAUCAGGGAGGGAAGAAUCCUGAAAGUUUGCACUGCAUGGGAUACAGGCCUCGCCUGAAAGUCUGCCUCCGGAGCUCCAAGUCACAGCCUUUGGAGUGAACGGUUAUUAGGGAGGGAACGGGUACAGGCACCUGGAGAGAAGGGAUCCACCUUCUUCAAUACAGUCUCGGGAUUUCUGUCAGUCCUUCCUGGAGUCCCUACUGACGAGCUACAGAACCAUUGAAAUCAACAGGGCCUUCAGCAUCAGGGACCCCCAAGAUGAUGACUUCGACUCCCGUGCGAGCCCCCAAACUGUCUGAUAGUCCCGGAUGACUCAGUCCUUAUCUGCUGGGCCAGGUUCCAGAUUGUGGAUUGCGAAGACAACAUUCUUUCCUUAAUAGCUCCUUGUGGGAGAUUUGAGGGAUUUUCUUGAGGUUGUUGUGUGGAUGGGUUUCUAUUAGAUAGAGAUUUAUUUCUGAACUAGCCAAAGGAAUGUCAAGGCCAGCCCAAAGGUUGAAAGACAGCAGUGAGACUCGGGCGUGUGGACAGCUCGUGAACAUGGACAAUAUCCAGUCAGCUAAUGCAUGCUUGCAGCGUGGACGCGUGAUCAGGAAAUAACUGCAUAUAUAAGGAGGCUUGUUUCUGUAAUAAAUGGCUUCGCUUGAAUUCAUAUUGGAUUGUGUGGAGUCCAUGAUUUUUCGCCCUCGCAAGUGGUGAUUCCGAUGUGAUCCAUAAGGAGAAUUUACGGAAGGGGGACGACUGCUGUGGGGAGCGAGCCCCAGCUGGAAUGGCCCGGCUGGACCGUGACCGGGACGCAGUCUGCGGGCUGCGUGACUCCUGAUUGAUCGCUACAGAAGCGACAGAGGAGGGAUAAAGGAUCCGAUAGCAUUGCAACGGACACCCAAAGAGGUGAGCAGCUGGGGGCGAGAGGAGAUGGGGCAGAAUAUUUUUAAAGAAGAAGAAGAAAUACUGCAGCUCCUCUCGCAUAUUCUCUCUAAGAGAGGGGUGAAGUAUGAGGAGAGUAACCUCAAAAGACUAUUAAUUUGGUGUUGAGGCAAUGGCUUUCCUGCUGACGUGUUAGGAGUUUUUCAAAUAGAGACUUGGGAUAAAGUGGGAACUGUGUUGUGGAAGGCAAUCGGUCACAGUGAAAAAGAUAUUCUCGGCCUUGUAACCACCUGGAAACUGAUAAUUACUACAGUGAAGCAAUUAAAGCCUGAAAAGACUGUUACAAGCAUUAGUGACUCAAAACCUGAACUUUGGGACGAUAUAGGGCAGAAAUUAUGGGAUAAAGUCAGCAAUGGAGAUAAAGAAGCUAAAUCAUUAGUAACUACAUGGAAGCUUACAAUCACUACCUUAAAAGAUCUUAAGGCUGAACGGUCUGCUGCUGCUGGAAUUUUUGCAGCGUUGCAGCCUGUUAAGUAUCCUGAAAGUUGCUGUGAAAUUUACCCGGUUCGUGUCUUUGAUACCCUCCCUAUUCCAUCCCCUGCUGUGCUUUCGGCACCCCCGAUAGUUCAGCAGUCCGGGGCGGGGGGAGGAAAAAUGCCGAGCGGGUGGCCUCCUGUACCACUGUCCAACCCUGGUGAGAACAACAAGUCCAAAGGAUUGGAGUCGGACGAUUUGCCUAAAGAACCUGUGAAAGCUGAGAAUGCUAAGGUCGUGAACAAGUGUACUAUCAGUCCUUUUACCAAUUUGUAUCUGCCUUUAAUGCCUUUUAACCCUCCAACUUCCACGAGAGAGCAGAAGGAGUCACUGGAUAAGAACUGGGCAACAGAACUGUGUGACAGAUUAGAUCAGCUAACAGCGAGUGAAUCCAGCAGUCGGCAAUGCGGUCAUGAUGAUCGCGACGGGAAAGGGGGUGCUCCUGGGGACUCGGGUUAUACAAAUAAUUAUGAUGCUAGAAAGUAUUGGCGAGAAUGUGCACUGUUCCGAACCCCCCCAUUACCAAUGAUUCUCCAGCACCGCUCAAGUCCGCAUUAUCUGAGGACUCGGAUGAGGAUGAGGGUCUGCAGCAUUUUCUUGAGAAGUUAAAGGAGUAUGUGUACGUGUUGCCCCAAGAUCAGAUAAAAACUAUGAAAGACUCAAGCAAAAUUAGACCUAUGCAAUGUAACAGCUAUAGAUCAUUUAGAAUGGAAUGAUGGGGACUCGUUGAAAGGGGCAGGUAUCCCCCAACUCUUGGAACAGACACUAGUUGACACACCACAAUUACAGGCACGAUAAGUUUCUGAAAUCCUGAGGCAGUCAACAGACCUUGCAUAUCAAGCUAUAGUAGAGGUGUCUGAAACCAACAAAGCAGCCAAAUCUUUUAUAACUACUAUCAGGGUCCCAGUGAGAAUUACAUGCAAUUUACUGACCAUCUUCAAGAGGCCAUCAAUAAGCAGGUUGAAAACUCAGAAGUUAAGGAAGCACUGGUGUUGAAAUUAGCAGUAGAGAAUGCUAAUGUUUGCUAUCAACGUGUUAUUUGCGAGUUUUACAGUACAUAUUAUAUGCUUCUGUGUAUUGCCCCUCUGAAAAUCAAGCAGCUUGUCAGGAAUGUGAGUUAAUUGUUUCACUGGUUGUUGUUAGAAUUUUUUCUUUGUGGUAUAAGUACACCGUAAAACUUUCUCCCCACUUUUCCCACUCGUGCUGCAAGCAGCCCUGUGCUUCCCCCCCUCCCUCCCUCUUCUCAUGGUUUUUACUUACGAGAUGGGGUCAGGAAUGACUGCUUUCAGUCGUGUUCCUAAGAAAUCGGUAUUGGGAGGUGUUUUAAAACAUAGGAAAGCACUUGGAUAUUCCAAUAUCCAGACUUGCACAACUCUGUGAUAGGCUGUGUCUCAUCUCGAUGUGCUGGAUUUGGCUCUUUUGUAUGCACAUCAAGUAAAGAAUCCUGGUUUUGGAAUAACAGUUGUAGCACACCAGAUGAGACGCUAAUAAAAACCUUGCCCAGUCCAGCUUGCUGCAGCGGCGGGGGGGCGGGUGCUGAUUGGGCUCCAGCGCGCACUGACCUGUUUUGUCAGGGAGACCCAGCGGUACCUCUGCCUGGCUGAGCAGUAGGCGGUUCAAAGGUGCAAUGCAAAAAUUGAGAUAUUGUCUUGAAUUAGUGUAACUGUGAUCCAUCUGCAUAUUUGAACUUGGUAUUUGGUUUUCAUAUCUAGGCUCAGUAUUUUAAUUUGCAUAUUUCUAUUUGGUACCAAAAGAAUUUUGUUUGGGGAGAUAAUUACAAAAUGGGAACCGGUUCCACUGCUAAAAUUCCACCUUGCUCCCCCUUAGGAUGCAUCCUUACACAUUAGAGUAAUUGCUUAUAUUGUUAUCUAGUAACUUUGAGACCAGAAAAGAAUUUAAAUUGUCAAACUCUGCUUUGCAUUGAAAAAAAUUUGCCAUAAAGCCCUAUACCUCUCUUGGGUCAAGAUUUGUUAAGCAAAUUGUAAGCUCAAAUAACGUUUUCUGAGAAUUCUGUUUAGUUGCAUGUCUUACAAGAAGCUGCUUGGAUGGUGCAGAUCUGCUUGUGCAAGUGAGGAAUCUCCAAGGAAAUUUCGAAUGCUGUAUUUCCACUAGUAUUAACAGCCAAUGUUUCGAUAAAGCAAAUACUACACUGAUAGAUCUGAAACAGGACGUCGAUCCGGUAAGGGAAAACAAUAUCCAAUAAAUAUGACAGCUAAAAUGGAGUUGGAAACUUUGAGGAAUAAAUUUAUGACAACCUUACAGGUUGACUGCAUUUGAUUGGACUUGCAGAUUUGUCUGUUACAUGUACCAUUUGUGAAAUUUAAUUUUGAUUUUUUUAUAUGCAAUCUACAUCUUUGUAAAUUGCACUAGCUCAUUUUCUUAACAGCACAGCUUUUGGCAUGCAUAAAUGUAAAAUGUAAAUUGCUGCAGAACCUGCAAGUCUUUAACAUCAGGUCACAGACCAUACUUGUAGUUGGUCUGAUCCUACAUACUUGCACACUUUUUGUUGAUGGUUCAGGGAAGUCUCAUAAAGCUGUAGUGGUCUGGCAUGAAGAUAACAAUUGGCAUCAUUCUGUACAAAUUACUGAAGGUUCAACCCAAUUAGCAGAACUUGGCGCAGCUUUACAUUACUUAGAGCUUUUUAAGGAGGAACCUCUAAAUUUGAUUUGUGAUUCUGAGUACGUAGUCAAGGUCCAACGCAUGUAUCUGAUUCUGAACUGGUUUGUUUUUGUUUGUUUUUUGUUUUGUUUGUUUGUUUGUUUGUUUGUUUUUUGUUUUGUUUUGGUUUGGUUUUGGUUUUGUUUAAACAAAAAGGGGGGAGAAAUAGGGAAAACACCACAAAACCAAUUGUCAAAAGCAUUGUAUGUAAUGAAUCACUUAUAUCUAAGUGGUGCAGCCCAAAUUUUCCCUGUGAUGUUGCAAGUAUGACCCAAAACCAUGCUAAAUCAGAAAGAACCUACAUUAGUUAUGGUCAAAUCACUAGUUAACGGUAAAUGGAAAAGGCCACAUCAAUUGAUAACCUGGGGAAAAGGUUAUGCUUGUGUCAUUACGGGCCAAGGAUUGAAGUGGAUUCAACAAAGAUUCAACGGAUACAGACGGACAGGAGGGAGAUAAGUUGUGAGGACUGUUUCAGAUGUAAACCAUGGAUCCUAAUUCAGUGUUAUGGAUGCUCACAGACCUGGUGGUCUAGAAGCCUAUUUGCAAGCAGGUGGUGUACCUUCUGUGGAGAAUGGCAAUUUGAGCAAACAGCAGGAGAGUCAAAAGGAUAAUAUUACACUUAGAUAGCAAAUGCAAAAAUGAGGUAAAAUUAUGAGACAUUCCUACCAUAGUAUCUACUGCACUCCUUCUCCCUAGUCUAGCAGCUGGUAAAGCUUUAGGAGACAUAUCAAAGUUAAGCUAUUGGUCUUUUAAACAGGCUAAUCUAACUUCUGAGAUACUAACUCAAUUAAUAGUAGAUGUUGAUGGUGUUAGGCAUGUUACAUUUCAAAAUCGUGUUGCUAUAGAUUUUUGUUGUUAUCGUAAGGACAUGGUUGUGAUGAAUUUAAGAGAAGGAUGUUGUAUUAACUUGUUUAAUCAUUCUGGAUCUAUGCAUAGUAUUUUAGACAAACUAACCCAGCACGUUAAUAAGAUUGUCAUAGUAGAAUUAGGGUUUGACAAAUGGUGGGUAGUUGUUUGAUCUUAUUAUGUAAGGCUUAGCUACAUUAUAUGUAACUGUAAUCAUUGUUGUUAAUCAUAUGUUGUAUGCUGCAGUGUAUUUCAAAGAUGAUUCAGUGCGUUGUAAACAAGGCUUGGCUGGUUCAAAAACAAAAAGGGAGAAAUGUGGGAGAUUUGAGGGAUUUUCUUGAGGCUGUUGUGUGGAUGGGUUUCUAUUAGAUACAGAUUUAUUUCUGAACUAGCCAAAGGAAUCUCAAGGCCAGCCCGAAGGCUGAAAGACAGCAGUGAGACUCGGGCGUGUGGACAGCUCGUGAACAUGGACAAUAUCCAAUCAGCUAAUGCAUGCUUGGAGCGUGGACGCGUGAUCAGGAAAUAACUGCAUGUAUAAGGAGGCCUGUUUCUGUAAUAAAUGGCUUCGCUUGAAUUCAUAUU